rnacentral:rRNA from 1 species
GAUGAACGCUGGCGGCGUGCUUAAUACAUGCAAGUCGAACGAUGAAGCCCAGCUUGUUGGGUGGAUUAGUGGCGAACGGGUGAGUAACACGUGAGCAACCUGCCCCUGACUCUGGGUUAAGCGCUGGAAACGGCGCCUAAUACUGGCUAUGUCCUGUCACCGCCCGGAUUGCGGGUGGAAAGAUUAUUCGGUUGGGGAUGGGCGCGCGGCCUAUCAGCUUGCUGGGGAGGUAAUGGCACACCAAGGCGUCGACGGGUAGCCGUCCCGAGAGGGGGACCGGCCUCAAUAGGACUGAGAGACGGCGCAGUCUCGUACGUGAGGCAGCAGUGGGGAGUAUUGCACAAUGGGCGGAAGCGUGAUGCGGCAACGUCGCGUGAGGGAUGACGGCCUUCGAGUUGUAAACCAAUUUUAGCAGAGAAGAAGCGAAAGUGACGGUACCUACAGAAAAAGCACCGGCUAACUACGUG